rnacentral:rRNA from 1 species
AUUGAACGCUGGCGGCAUGCUUUACACAUGCAAGUCGAACGGCAGCGCGGGGCAACCUGGCGGCGAGUGGCGAACGGGUGAGUAAUAUAUCGGAACAUACCCAAGAGUGGGGGAUAACGUAGCGAAAGUUACGCUAAUACCGCAUACGAUCCAAGGAUGAAAGCAGGGGAUCUUCGGACCUUGUGCUCCUGGAGCGGCCGAUAUCUGAUUAGCUAGUUGGUGAGGUAAAGGCUCACCAAGGCGACGAUCAGUAGCUGGUCUGAGAGGACGACCAGCCACACUGGGACUGAGACACGGCCCAGACUCCUACGGGAGGCAGCAGUGGGGAAUUUUGGACAAUGGGCGCAAGCCUGAUCCAGCAAUGCCGCGUGAGUGAAGAAGGCCUUCGGGUUGUAAAGCCCUUUUGUCAGGGAAGAAACGGCCGGGGCUAAUAUCCUCGGCUAAUGACGGUACCUGAAGAAUAAGCACCGGCUAACUACGUGCCAGCAGCCGCGGUAAUACGUAGGGCGCAAGCGUUAAUCGGAAUUACUGGGCGUAAAGCGUGCGCAGGCGGUUUUGUAAGUUUGUCGUGAAAUCCCCGGGCUCUCCUGGGAAUUGCGAUGAAGACUGCAAAGCUGGAGUCUGGCAGAGGGGGGUAGAAUUCCACGUGUAGCAGUGAAAUGCGUAGAGAUGUGGAGGAACACCGAUGGCGAAGGCAGCCCCCUGGGUCAAGACUGACGCUCAUGCACGAAAGCGUGGGGAGCAAACAGGAUUAGAUACCCUGGUAGUCCACGCCCUAAACGAUGUCUACUAGUUGUCGGGUUUUAAUUAACUUGGUAACGCAGCUAACGCGUGAAGUAGACCGCCUGGGGAGUACGGUCGCAAGAUUAAAACUCAAAGGAAUUGACGGGGACCCGCACAAGCGGUGGAUGAUGUGGAUUAAUUCGAUGCAACGCGAAAAACCUUACCUACCCUUGACAUGUACGGAAUCCUUGAGAGAUCAGGGAGUGCUCGAAAGAGAGCCGUAACACAGGUGCUGCAUGGCUGUCGUCAGCUCGUGUCGUGAGAUGUUGGGUUAAGUCCCGCAACGAGCGCAACCCUUGUCAUUAGUUGCUACGAAAGGGCACUCUAAUGAGACUGCCGGUGACAAACCGGAGGAAGGUGGGGAUGACGUCAAGUCCUCAUGGCCCUUAUGGGUAGGGCUUCACACGUCCUACAAUGGUACAUACAGAGGGCCGCCAACCCACGAGGGGGAGCUAAUCCCAGAAAGUGUAUCGUAGUCCGGAUCGCAGUCUGCAACUCGACUGCGUGAAGUUGGAAUCGCUAGUAAUCGCGGAUCAGCAUGUCGCGGUGAAUACGUUCCCGGGUCU